GUGAUGCAAAUGAUGAGCUCAUAGUUCAGCAGAAUUUCCAUGUAGAACGAACAAAUUUUGUCUUUCGCUCCUAUCUGAUGCAUCAC